rnacentral:rRNA from 1 species
CAAUAGCGUAUAUUAAAGUUGUUGCAGUUAAAAAGCUCGUAGUUGGAUUUGUGGCAGUCUUUGGCGUCUGGUCACAUUGUGAUUUGGAUUUGCUAGGGUCGCCAUCCUUGGGUGGAUUUUGUGUGGCAUUAGGUUGUCGUGCAGGGGAUGCCCAUCGUUUACUGUGAAAAAAUUAGAGUGUUUAAAGCAGGCUUAUGCCGUUGAAUAUAUUAGCAUGGAAUAAUAAGAUAGGACCUUGGUACUAUUUUGUUGGUUUGCGCACUGAGGUAAUGAUCAAUAGGGACAGUUGGGGGUAUUCGUAUUCCAUUGUCAGAGGUGAAAUUCUUGGAUUUUUGGAAGACGAACUACUGCGAAAGCAUUUACCAAGGAUGUUUUCAUUA